rnacentral:lncRNA from 1 species
GCUUCUAUCACACUCCAGUGCUUUUAAGCAGGUUUUCCCCCCAUAUUUUACCUAAAGUUUAUAGCUGUUACCUGUGGAAAGGUUGGUUCAGUGGGGGCUAUUCUGCCAUUACCAAAAGUUGGGUCCUGUUCUCUACUUUUUAAUUGGGCCGGAAAAGAGGCAUAAACUCGGAGAACCCAAGACCCCGGCCUGGCGUGCAGCCCCAGCAGCCGGACCAGCCUUGGGCAACAGCGUGCGACGUUCAGCUGUCUGUGUCUCCAGUGCUCCCAUUCCAUCGCACCUGAAUGAGGGAUUUGGGAGGUAAAACAGGGAGACACAGCCUCUCGUCGGAACGCUCCUGCACACCCUUCUCGCAACCCCCACCACCUGCCCCCCACUCCCGACCAGAGCAGCCGCCGUCCUGGUGUCUCCCAUCAGAGGGCUGAGCGUGCGUUCGAGCUUCUCCUGCAUCAUGACCAGGAUGCUCUGGGACACCUUGUCCACGUCUGUGUCCACCAGUCCUGCUCAGAAUCUCCCCAGGGGCUUUUCCACGAUGCCCAUCCAGGCGUCACCCUCACUCUAGGCCAGGAGGAGAAGGCAUGCCCUGAGGAUUCAGCCUCUUCUUCUUCAUCCCUCCCAGCACCCAGUGUGUUGGGUGCACACAGUAUGGUUCCAAACCAGAGUUUCCCUAGGAAAUAAACACGGAGGGGCUGAAAGGACCUGGGGCCAUCGGGGGUGGAUGGCCAUAUCCUGGGGCCUUGAUGCCAGUGCCGACUGUUCCCUGCACGCUUCCACGUCCACGCCAACAUUGCAAGGCUAUGUCACGGACUGGAACAGCUACAGUGAUGACACACCUGAGGUGAACACAACUCCAGCAGCAUCCUGGCCUCUCAUGGGGCAAGUGCAUGUGGAAUCUAGAAACUUCACAGCUGAGCCUGCAAAGGUGCUCAUGGCAUGCAGAAGUGUUUCUGGGUCCAGUGGUAGGAAGUCAUUUCAAGCAGCUUGUGAACAUUCACAGAAGCAGCUCAGGAUCAUCCUGCUGCUUCUGAGAGGAGGUGUCGGGCCCCAGGCUGGAGGCCACGUGCCAGGCUGGCAGGAUUUGUCCACUGUGAAGCUCGACGCCCCCGCAGGCCCUGUGCUGCCCGCCCGGAUCCCCCUGCCUCAGGAUGCCCUCCACACCCUCCGAAUUCCCAGCCGCUGCUCUGGGGCCUGCACAGAGGGCUUGGGCCCAGCACCUGGAAACUCCAAAGAGGCAAACGGGUUCAUGUCCAGGUUUUGUCAGAUCGCUUCCGAGGCUGCCCUCUUCGCCGUGGCUGCUGAGUGCAGAGCUGGGCAUCUGAGUGGACAGAGUGGUGCUCCGCUUCCUUGCAUCUCCUGGGCCAUGCGUGGUGACCUGUGCCCACUGCAUCGCUCCUGUGUGCCCUGUGCAUGUGACCGUGUCUUUCCCGUGUAUUCAGUGCUGCUUCAUGUGUUCCAGUUCCGCUUUGUGGUUUGUGAGUGACCAGUGCAUCCCGUUCCUGCUGCAGCAGCUGCAAUGUGCACUGUCCUGCAGGAAGCCCUCGGGGUAGGGCCUGGGGGCUGUGGGAAGCUCAGCAACAAGGUAAGGGAAUGGGCAGCUUUGUUUUAUUUAUUUAUUUAUUUUUACUAUUUAAUUAUCUCACCUUAUUACACUUUAAUUAAAAUAUCGAUCUUUACACAAUACACUUGAACUGUGGAAUAAAGCAGGACCAGAUGUGGACGCUCCAUUAUGCCAGGAGGUCUCCUCAGGAUGAGCCCCAUGUGCAGCCUACAUUGUGCUACUCUCUCAGAUCCAGUGUGCAGCUCUCCUCCUGGGACUUCCCUCCACAACUUUUCUCAGUUGAAUCCACUAUGUGUUGGAUCCCAGGUCUUCCUCUUUAUUUUCUCCUUCAUUUUGCUGGAGCACAUCCUCAAGUAACUUUCUAAAAUAAGUUUAAACAGGUAAAUGUUUUGGAAGGUUGAAUGCCACAAAACAUCUUUAUUCUACCUUCAUACUUGACUCAUAAUAUUGCUGGAACCAAUUUCUAAGUUCAAAAUCAUUUUUCAGGAGCUAGGAAUUGAACUCAACCUAUCUAAUUCCAAAAUUAGGGUUAUUUUAUUUGACACGAUCUCUGGCUAGGAAGCAAGCACAACAGCUCCACCGUUAUUGGCAAGUUACUGAAAGCAACCCUUUGACAGCAGCCGCAGAUCCACAGCCAUACAGAAUUUUCCUUUUUAAACAAGUUGCUCACCAUUAGGAUGCUCUGAUUUCUCCAUUUGUAAAAUGAAGAUUCUCUGUCAACUUUUGGUUUUAGUUUUUGGUCUGGCAUAUUUGGUAAGCUACAAGUGAUCUUUGGCUGAAAAUCAGUCAUGUGUGGCGGGUCGUUUCACCAGGUGCCCUGCACCCAGAGAUCUAGGGCCCUCAAUCGUCCUUCAGUUGCUGUCAGUGCAAGGGCAAUCUCACCCAACCCUCCACAGGGAAAGGCAACUGCCACACGCCUCUGAGAGCAGGGAUGCAGCAAGCGCUGACUCUGGGCUUACAGGGGUCCCGCCCAUAACAGCGCACCACAGACCAGGGCUCACCCCACAAACAUUUUUCUCGCUCAGUCCUGGAGGCAGAAAGGCCAACAUCAGGGUGCCAGCAUGGCUGGCGUCUGGUGAGGCUCUCUUCCUGGUUUGCAGACUGUUGCCAUGGUAUUGUGAUAAUAACAAAAUAUAGAUUUGGUCUUCGUCCCAGAUUCCCAACACCAGAGCUUCUAAGAGACCUGGAACCUCUUGAGUGAUGAGCGUGUCUUUUGUGUGCUGACGAGAGGACAGAGCUGGUGACCCUUGGGCAGCUUCAGGAAGGGACUGCUCCCCAGAAAGACCAAGGCAGGACUUAUAGGUGAGGACUUUCAGAUCCACCCCAACCUCCAGGAAGCGGGAGGGGAGAGAGGACAGGAGCUGAAGAUGGAACUGAUUACCGAUGGCCAAGAAUUUAAUCCAUUAUUCUGUUAAUGAAAAACCAAACUCUGUAAAACAUUUUAAAGAGGUUUAUUGGGACCCCUAAUACGGUGACCACAGCUUGGAGAAAAAACAAACCCAAGAAGCCUAGAGUGAGUGUUCCUGAGGUGCCUGGAUUACAGUCUGGCUUCAUGCACUUUAGGGGACAGGCGUUACAGGUGGACGAGAUAUAUAUUGGCUCAGCUCGAACACGCGGGAUAUCUGGAAGCAAGCCUUAUCGGUUAUAGGUGGAUUCAGAGAGUCUUCAGUUUGCGGCUGGUUAAAGGAGCAAAGCUUUAUCUAAAACCUAGAGUCAGCGAUGAGGACAUCUGCACCCGAAACAUGGGGCAGGGGUGACUAACAGGGUGCAUGACUUGACUUAACCCUCGUCUGACAUGGUCUUGGGUCCUGUUUGUAACUGGGGCUCUUAUUGCCACGGUCAGUUCUGUCAGCCUUCUGAUCUCUGUUUUGACAUUAAUGCCUAAAUUCCAAAGGGA